UAGUCCACGCCGUAAACGAUGUCAACUAGCCGUCGGGCUCAUUUAAGGGUUUGGUGGCGCAGCUAACGCGCUAAGUUGACCGCCUGGGGAGUACGCCGGCAACGGUAAAACUCAAAGGAAUUGACGGGGGCCCGCACAAGCGGUGGAGCAUGUGGUUUAAUUCGAUGCAACGCGAAGAACCUUACCUACCCUUGACAUCCUCAGAACUUGUUAGAGAUAACUUGGUGCCUUCGGGAAUUGAGUGACAGGUGCUGCAUGGCUGUCGUCAGCUCGUGUCGUGAGGUGUUGGCUUAAGUGCCGCAACGAGCGCAACCCCUAUUGUUAGUUGCCAGCGAGUAAUGUCGGGGACUCUAACAAGACUGCCGGCGUAAGCCGCGAGGAAGGUGGGGACGACGUCAAAUCAUCAUGGCCUUUAUGCCUAGGGCGACACACGUGCUACAAUGGACGGUACAGAGGGUUGCCAACCCGCGAGGGGGAGCGUAAUCUCAGAAAGCCGUUCCCAGUUCGGAUCGGAGUCUGCAAC
rnacentral:rRNA from 1 species